AUGAAGCUGGAGCUUGCUCCGGUGGAUUAGUGGCGAACGGGUGAGUAACACGUGAGCAAUCUGCCCUUGACUCUGGGAUAACUGCGGGAAACUGUAGCUAAUACCGGAUACGACGCCUUGGGGCAUCCCACGGGCGUGGAAAGAAUUUCGGUCAAGGAUGAGCUCGCGGCCUAUCAGCUAGUUGGUGAGGUAAUGGCUCACCAAGGCGACGACGGGUAGCCGGCCUGAGAGGGUGACCGGCCACACUGGGACUGAGACACGGCCCAAACUCCUACGGGAGGCAGCAGUGGGGAAUAUUGCGCAAUGGGCGAAAGCCUGACGCAGCAACGCCGCGUGAGGGAUGAAGGCCUUCGGGUUGUAAACCUCUUUUAUCAGGGAAGAAGCGAAAGUGACGGUACCUGAAGAAAAAGCACCGGCUAACUACGUG
rnacentral:rRNA from 1 species